rnacentral:rRNA from 1 species
UGGGGAAUUUUGGACAAUGGGGGCAACCCUGAUCCAGCAACGCCGCGUGAGUGAAGAAGGCCUUCGGGUUGUAAAGCUCUUUUGUCAGGGAAGAAACGGUAGUAGCGAAUAACUAUUACUAAUGACGGUACCUGAAGAAUAAGCACCGGCUAACUACGUGCCAGCAGCCGCGGUAAUACGUAGGGUGCAAGCGUUAAUCGGAAUUACUGGGCGUAAAGCGUGCGCAGGCGGUUGUGUAAGUCAGAUGUGAAAUCCCCGGGCUCAACCUGGGAAUUGCAUUUGAGACUGCACGGCUAGAGUGUGUCAGAGGGGGGUAGAAUUCCACGUGUAGCAGUGAAAUGCGUAGAUAUGUGGAGGAAUACCGAUGGCGAAGGCAGCCCCCUGGGAUAACACUGACGGUCAAGGACGAAAGUAUGGGGAGCGAACGGGAUUAGAUACCCCGGUAGUCCCUGAGCGGGCUGGCAAGGCGCAU